rnacentral:tRNA from 1 species
UGCCUAGUAGCCAAGCGGUAAGGCAGAAGGCUCUGACCCUUCGAUUUCGUAGGUUCGAAUCCUACCUAGGCAGCCA